CCUACGGGCGGCAGCAGUGAGGAAUAUUGGUCAAUGGACGAGAGUCUGAACCAGCCAAGUAGCGUGAAGGAUGACUGCCCUAUGGGUUGUAAACUUCUUUUAUAUGGGAAUAAAACAGGGUAUGUAUACCCUCUUGUAUGUACCAUAUGAAUAAGGAUCGGCUAACUCCGUGCCAGCAGCCGCGGUAAUACGGAGGAUCCGAGCGUUAUCCGGAUUUAUUGGGUUUAUAGGGAGCGUAGAUGGAUUGUUAAGUCAGUUGUGAAAGUUUGCGGCUCAACCGUAAAAUUGCAGUUGAAACUGGCAGUCUGGAGUACAGUAGAGGUAGGCGGAAUUGGUGGUGUAGCGGUGAAAUGCUUAGAUAUCACGAAGAACUCCGAUUGCGAAGGCAGCUCACUGAACUGCAACUGACACUGAUGCUCGAAAGUGUGGGUAUCAAACAGGAUUAGAUAUCCCUGUAGUC
rnacentral:rRNA from 1 species